rnacentral:rRNA from 1 species
UACGAAGGGGGCUAGCGUUGCUCGGAAUCACUGGGCGUAAAGCGCACGUAGGCGGCUCUUUAAGUCAGGGGUGAAAUCCUGGAGCUCAACUCCAGAACUGCCUUUGAUACUGGCGAUCUCGAGUCCGGGAGAGGUGAGUGGAACUGCGAGUGUAGAGGUGAAAUUCGUAGAUAUUCGCAAGAACACCAGUGGCGAAGGCGGCUCACUGGCCCGGUACUGACGCUGAGGCACGAAAGCGUGGGGAGCAAACAGG